rnacentral:rRNA from 1 species
ACGGGUGAGUAAUACAUCGGAACGUGUCCUGGAGUGGGGGAUAGCCCGGCGAAAGCCGGAUUAAUACCGCAUACGAUCUCUGGAUGAAAGCGGGGGACCGAAAGGCCUCGCGCUCAAGGGGCGGCCGAUGGCAGAUUAGCUAGUUGGUGGGGUAAAGGCCUACCAAGGCGACGAUCUGUAGCUGGUCUGAGAGGACGACCAGCCACACUGGGACUGAGACACGGCCCAGACUCCUACGGGAGGCAGCAGUGGGGAAUUUUGGACAAUGGGGGCAACCCUGAUCCAGCAAUGCCGCGUGUGUGAAGAAGGCCUUCGGGUUGUAAAGCACUUUUGUCCGGAAAGAAAACCACUUCUCUAAUACAGAGGUGGGAUGACGGUACCGGAAGAAUAAGCACCGGCUAACUACGUGCCAGCAGCCGCGGUAAUACGUAGGGUGCGAGCGUUAAUCGGAAUUACUGGGCGUAAAGCGUGCGCAGGCGGUUCGCUAAGACCGAUGUGAAAUCCCCGGGCUUAACCUGGGAACUGCAUUGGUGUCUGGCGGGCUAGAGUAUGGCAGAGGGGGGUAGAAUUCCACGUGUAGCA